rnacentral:lncRNA from 1 species
AUGCUCUUAGGAAAUGCAUCCCCAUGGGAGUUCCACUUCUGGUGGGAAUUCAUAGGGCUCUGUUUCCUAAGCUCAUGGAAAUGGAGCCCAAAGCCCAUCUUCAGGAGUCAGGUGUUACCAGACUCUAAACAAGGAGAAAAUGGGGUAAAAGAGUGGGCUAAUUUACGGAAGGCUAGGAUACUGACAUUAGAAGGUCAGGACUUAUACAAAGGAUGGCAUGCAUACUUGUGGAAAAGGAAAGGCCACAAAGAAAGAAAUUUUAACAAUCACUACUUGAGAAAAGCAUUAUUAGCAACAUGGGAGAAAGACAAAAACAGAUUUUACAGGAAAACACCAUUAUGGCUCUCUCCCUUAGAGUCAGAACAUAUGAGAGAGAUCCCUAGGGAAAGAUGGUUAACAUACAAACAAAUGGUAAAAAUAGAUAAUCAGGGAAUAAGGUUAAAAUCAUACGAGGAGGUCAAACAAAUAGAAUCAUCUAUAAUCUGGCUAAACUACUGGCAGAUCAGGGAAGGUUUUAAAACAGAUAGCCAAAUAGGAUUCAAAAGGAACGAAACAGUAUGGGAUAAGAUUUUAAAUCUCGAAAGGAAAGUAAUCAAAAUGUUAUAUCAACAGUUGCUGAUAUGGGAAACAGAAGAGGUAUAUGUUAAAGAAAACAUGACCACAUGGGCAAGAGAGUUCGGACAUACAAUAAGGUUUGAGGAAUGGGAAAGAUGCUGGCAAAAGAGAUUAAAAUAUACAUAUUCAACAUCGUUAAAAGAAAGUUGGUAUAAAAUUUACUUCAGGUGGUAUAUUACACUGGUAAAAUUGGCAAAAAUUAACAAGGGCAAGAAUGGGGAAGAAUGUUGGAAAUGUAAAAAAGAGAAGGGAGAUUUUUUUUCAUAUCUGGUGGGGGUGCAAGAUGAUAAAAAGGUUCUGGAGAAUAAUACAGAAAGAAAUGGAGACUAUACUACAAAUAAAACUUGCACUAAAACCGGAAUACUUUCUACUAGGGUUAACAGAUUUUUUCAUGGAUACAAAUAA